CUUUACAUUCCUAAGUUCUGUGAAAGAGGCACUAGUAGCUCAGGCUAGCAAGGAAGGAAAAAAGAGGAAGUUUCUCUCUGCGUUCUGAUUACACUCUGAAUUCCCUUGUAGUGAGCUUACUUCUCUCCACCCACUUCUUACCAAGAACUCCUUAACUUGAGGGUGAACAACUUAAAGCUUGAUCCUACAGUUACCUGAAAAGUGAUUUGAGUAUUCAUUGAACUGAAAGAACAAAUCGCCUACUUCAGGCGGUGGCAAGCGUAUGGAAAUUAUAUUAGAACUUCAGCAAAGUGCACAGCUGCAUAAUAGAGAAGCCGGCACUCAGAUUGACAGGCAAAUAAGCCAGCUUGUGGAAGGGGCCUCUGGGUGGCAGCUCUGGGCUUUUGGGUGUUGGACAACCAUAGGCAAAACUGAAAUGGAACAGGGGCAGAAAAUAGCACACUUUUACUCUACGCAACUGUUGCUUUUUCAUGAUCUUCAGGAAUUUUACUGGGAUAAUUAUCCAAAUAAAUUGCAAGCAUUCUAUCCAAAUGGAGCUCUUUCUGAGAUGAAGAGAAUUCUCAAUGUCAAGAUUUGAACAAGAAGAGAAUGGAAUACACAAUAUGGACAUCCAUAAAAAUUCAUCAGAGAGCAUUUUACUACUGAGCUGCAAAGGUAGGAAAAAUAAAUUUUUUUUGGUUAGAAAAUAUACUUCUUUCAUCUGCGUUUCAAUAAUUUAUUCCCCUUGUUAGAUAUACAUGGAAUUGAUAUUGCUUAUUCUGACUAAGUGAAAAGUGUUAUUUCUACUUACUGCUCAAUUAGAAACAUGUAGUGUUUAAUUGUCAGUUUGAAUUUUUCUUUCAUACUAUUACAGUUUAUAUUUUACUAUAGGCAGAAUUUCCUCUUUAUCCUAAAUUUUGAUAUUCUCCAUAAUUUCAUCGUGCCUUGACAUUGCUGUAUAUAAUUUCUAUACAUCAGGAAGGCAAUUCUGUGUGCAUGUGUGUGUGUAUAUAUAUAGUUAGAAGUUAGAAACUGAAACUCUUUUUUGUCUACCAUCAUUUCAUAUUUUUCUUGCUAUUUCAAACCUAUAAUUUUUAAAGAAACGACUAACGUAAUCAUUCAUAGAAUAUGCUGUCAGUAACUUAACAAUAUAAAUGUUAACAUGGAGGCAUUUAGUUCAGCAUUUGCUUUACUUAAUAGAGUGCAGAAAAUGUGGCCCUUUUCUCAGUUAGGGUGUAUGUGAAGAUAAAUUUAGAAUUUCUAGACUAGUAAAUACUUCUCUGAUAAUAACUUAAUUAUAGCUAUUUCAAACCAAAUUGUUUAAUUGUGGUGAAUCAUAUGUAAAUUGUUCAGAUGUAGGUCAACACCCACGCCCACAUUCUAGCACCUCUUUCCUAAUUCAAGACAACUUUGCAGUGCCUAAAAGAGCUGAACAGUGCAGAUUAGAGACAUAAGACAAAAAAAAAAAAAAAACACAAAACAAUGGUAACAUAAAAA
ensembl:lncRNA MIR99AHG mir-99a-let-7c cluster host gene